rnacentral:lncRNA from 1 species
AUAAUAAAAUUAUGUUGGUAAACUCUAUGACGAAUGCUUGAUCUAUUCAGUUAAAGCGUACAGAUACAGCGCCCACGGGUCUCGAUUGUUACUCGGCCGAUCCAGCCUUACGCCACUUCGAACAUGACUCAGCUCAACUCGGCCUCACGCCAUUUCGAUCGUGACUCGGCCGGCCCAUUUGGCCUUCCGCCACAGGGCAGGAUACUAACCCAUUUAAGCGAGCACUGCACAAAUUCGCAGCAUAUAGCAAUCGAAUCUAUGACCUCUGGCUCUGAUAUUACUCGUCGAAUCGUUGGUGCUAACUAUUAAUCCCAAAAGCUCGAACUGUUAGAAAUACACAACUAAUUUAUUUUAAGCGUAGAGAUACAAUGACCACGGAUCUUGAUUGUGACUUGGCUCAUUCUUGACGCUUAUUCGGCCCAUCUA